UCAAGCGAACAAGAGCGCAAGGGGAAUGCCUUGGCAUCAGGAGCCGAUGAAGGACGUGAUAAGCUGCGAAAAGCUUCGGGGAGCUGCAAAUAAGCAUUGAUCCGGAGAUGUCCGAAUGGGGAAACCCACCUGAGCAAACCUCAGGUAACGCAUGGUGAAUCAAAUAGCCAUGCGUGGGGAACCGCCUGAACUGAAACAUCUAAGUAGGGCGAGGAAAAGUAAUCAACCGAGAUUCCGAAAGUAGUGGCGAGCGAAAUCGGAAGAGGCCAAACCGCACGUAGCAAUAUGUGCGGGGUUGUGGACGGCAAUGUCGGUAAGCUUCGUUAGACGAAUGGUCUGGGAAGGCCAGUCAAAGAGUGUGAGAGCCACGUAGUCGAAAAUGAAGUGAACGUAGCCGGAUCCAGAGUACCGCGGGGCACGAGGAAUCCCGUGGGAAGCCGGGGGGACCACCCUCCAAGCCAAAAUACUACCUGAUGACCGAUAGAGGAGCAGUACCGUGAGGGAAAGGUGAAAAGCACCCCGGGAGGGGAGUGAAACAGUACCUGAAACCUUGUGCUUACAAGCAGACAUAGCCCGUUAAAGGGUGGUGUCGUACUUUUUGUAGAACGGUCCGGCGAGUUAUAGUAACUGGCGAGCUUAAGGUAUUCAGUACCGGAGGCGAAGGGAAACCGAGUGUGAAUAGCGCGUGAAGUCAGUUGCCAUAGACCCGAAACCAGGUGACCUAGCCAUGUCCAGGAUGAAGUGGAGGUAAAGCUCCAUGGAGGUCCGAACCCACGUACGUUGCAAUGUCCGGGGAUGAGGUGUGGCUAGCGGUGAAAUUCCAAACGAACUUGGAGAUAGCUGGUUCUCCCCGAAAUAGCUUUAGGGCUAGCGUAGGUAAUGAGUUUCACGGAGGUAAAGCACUGUCUGAGCUAGGGGGCGAUAAGCUUACUGAACUCUAACAAACUAAGAAUGCCGUAGAAAUGCUUACCUGCAGUCAGACUGCGAGUAAUAAAAUCCGUGGUCAAAAGGGAAACAGCCCAGACCCACAGCUAAGGUCCCAAAUAUACGCUAAGUGGAAAACGAUGUGAGAUUGCAUAAACAACCAGGAUGUUGGCUUAGAGGCAGCCACUCGUUCAAAGAGUGCGUAAUAGCUCACUGGUCGAGUGAUCUUGCGCGGAAAAUUUAACGGGGCUAAGCGUAUAACCGAAGCUUGGGAAUGUCGAAAGACAUUGGUAGGGGAGCGUCGUGUAUGGGGUGAAGUCGCAUCGGAAGGAGCGGUGGACUGUACACGAGUGAGAAUGCCGGAAUGAGUAGCGAGAAUUAUGUGGGAAUCAUAAUGGCCGAAAAUCUAAGGUUUCCUGGGGAAGGUUCGUCCGCCCAGGGUAAGCCGGGAGCUAAGGCGAGGCCGCGAGGCGUAGUCGAUGCACAUACGGUAGAAAUUCCGUAGCCACCUCACACUAGAAAGCUGACACAUGGAGAUAGUCGAACCCGGCCGUUGGUCGCGCCGGGCGAAAGGGACCGAACUUAUAGUAGGGAAGUCGAUGAUGCUCUGUGGCGAGAAAAGGCGAAGUGAGGUGCCCGUACCGCAAACCGACACAGGUAGAUGAGGAGAGAAUCCUAAGGCCAACGGGAGAAGGGUUGUUAAGGAACUCGGCAAAUUGGUCCCGUAACUUCGGGAGAAGGGACGCCCUCGAAAGAGGGUCGCAGUGAAUAGGCCCAAGCAACUGUUUACCAAAAACACAGGUCUCUGCUAAAUCGAAAGAUGACGUAUAGGGGCUGACGCCUGCCCGGUGCCGGAAGGUUAAGAGGAGGGCUUAGUGGCAACACGAAGGCUUGAAUUUAAGCCCCGGUAAACGGCGGCCGUAACUAUAACGGUCCUAAGGUAGCGAAAUUCCUUGUCAGGUAAGUUCUGACCCGCACGAAAGGCGUAAUGAUUUGGGCACUGUCUCAACAGCCCGCCCGGCGAAAUUGUAGUACCGGUGAAGAUGCCG
rnacentral:rRNA from 1 species